UACGUAGGGGGCUAGCGUUACCCGGAAUUACUGGGCGUAAAGGGUGCGUAGGUGGUUUCUUAAGUCAGAGGUGAAAGGCUACGGCUCAACCGUAGUAAGCCUUUGAAACUGGGAAACUUGAGUGCAGGAGAGGAGAGUGGAAUUCCUAGUGUAGCGGUGAAAUGCGUAGAUAUUAGGAGGAACACCAGUUGCGAAGGCGGCUCUCUGGACUGUAACUGACACUGAGGCACGAAAGCGUGGGGAGCAAACAGGAUUAGAUACCCCUGUAGUCCCUGAGCGGG
rnacentral:rRNA from 1 species